UUUUUUUUUUCAUCCAGGCUGUGCAGUACAUUUCAAAGCCCGAUACAGCCCCACUGUUAGCGUCUGUUUUUUGGAACAAAAUGAAUGUGCGUCAGGAGGGAGGCGAUGAACGUCCUCUCUGUCCUGCCUUUCCUCCCACCGCUGCUGGCCCUGUUUAGAUUAGCCGGGACACCAGUGUCGGGGGUGACUAGAAGGGACAUCAGCUGUUCCUUCCCCUUUCCAAGACGGACGUUCCCAUCAGUUCUUUGGGGAAGGGGCUUCCUCAGUGUUGACGUGGGCAGCGGUGAUGGAUGGUGCAGGCAGGAUGGUGCAAAGCCCGAUACCGGUCCCUGGGAGCAGCAACAACAGACCUGAGCUCCGGGUUCUGCACUGAAAUAACGUGAUUGGCAUGGGCAGCAUUGCUUCAGUUCCU